rnacentral:rRNA from 1 species
GUGGGGAAUAUUGGACAAUGGGCGCAAGCCUGAUCCAGCGAUGCCGCGUGUGUGAAGAAGGCCUGCGGGUUGUAAAGCACUUUCAGUGGGGAGGAAAUGCUCAAGGUUAAUACCCUUGAGAGUUGACGUUACCCAAAGAAGAAGCACCGGCUAACUCUGUGCCAGCAGCCGCGGUAAUACAGAGGGUGCAAGCGUUAAUCGGAGUUACUGGGCGUAAAGCGUACGUAGGUGGGUACUCGAGUCGGAUGUGAAAGCCCCGGGCUUAACCUGGGAAUUGCGUUCGAUACUAGGUAUCUAGAGUAUGGGAGAGGAAAGUGGAAUUUCCGGUGUAGCGGUGAAAUGCGUAGAUAUCGGAAAGAACACCAGUGGCGAAGGCGACUUUCUGGACCAAUACUGACACUGAGGUACGAAAGCGUGGGGAGCAAACAGGAUUAGAAACCCGAGUAGUCC